UAACUUCACUGAGAUAACAGGAAAACUCCCCAGAGAGUUGCCAUAGAAACACCCGAUGGAGACCAGGCGAGAUUAUGGCAGUGGGGCCCAAAAAUACUGUUAAGAUUAAGAGAGAUUUAGCCACAACUUUCCAAGUAUCUUUCUACUGGAAGAGGAACAAAAACAAGACUUAAAAUGGAAAAUGUCCUGCAUGAGACAAGAAUAGAUACAUCACCAUCAUGACGUUAGCAAACUUGGAGACUGCAGACACUUCAUGAAAUAAAUUGGGAAUGGCAGGCUAAGUACUUGAACUGACGAUGCAGGAACCACUGGGCCUGUCUUCAUCUGACACACUAUUGCUGGGAGAAUCAACAAUGAACCCUGCUGCCUUCAGCAUUAAUGACUGCAGCUUUGCAGGCUGGGAGUACAGCUGCAACGUCACCUCCACAAGACCCAGGAAAAGAAUGACAUUUCCAGAUAUUGUAUGAAAGUUGUGAAAUGGAGCGAAUCUGAAGGAAGCACAACCCCCACAUCCGGCAGACAAAGAGCGUCCAGCACAUAGUCCUGCAUGAGUGGCUGCCCCCAGUUCUGACCCACUAGCAUGGUGUACUGUUGCCAUACCUACCUUUUCUGCAGGCUCUGAAUUUAACCCAGAAGCACCAGCUCUCCUCUGGAGAUCCACAGAGGAUGGUGUCUCAUGGCUGUGUAGGAGGCACCUCAGGAGGUACAGACCCACUGGACAAACUAUCUCCUGUGAAAAUGAUAGAGAAAACAACUGAGUACUAUACAUGUAUUCCAACAGUAAGAAGGUGGAAAAUGACCAAUGGAUUUCACAAGAAAAUCACAUCAAACCAAUCUGGCUUCCUCCUUUGACAGGAUAAUUAGUGUGGAGGCAAAGGGGAGCAGUGGAUAUGAUGUAUCUUGGCUCAGGAAGGCUACUGACACCAUCCCAUAUAACUUUCACAUAAGCAAAGUGAGGAAAUGGGAACUAAAUGAAAAUUCACUGCAAAUCUACACUUUCAAAGCGUCUAUCUGCAGCUCUCCAUCACACAUAGCCUUGUCCUACAAAACUGUAAGCACAUGGCUGCUAGGGGGUACAUCAUGCUGGACAACAGGAUCAUGGUUCAAGAUGACCUCUCCAAAUGGGAGAUACAGCCCAACAUCACCAUGGUGGAAAUUCAUUGAGGUUAUUUGUGGAAUACAACACCACAACAGGUAGUCUGAGACUCUCUAAAGCUGUUCCAUUUCCUUUUGGAGGAACAGGCAGCCCCAUUCAUUGUGAAACUUUCUGCUGAGUCUGCAUUGAGAGCUUCACCUUGCACUUAAGACUGAGACCAUUUCCAGUAACAUCUGGGUUUCAUUUGUUCUUCAUUUUCAGGCAGGUGACAGUGUGCCUCAUUUCUGAUCUGUGCUGGUGGUUUCUGAGGGACCUGGGUGCUUGCCUUCCUCCCUGAGCUUGGGCCAAAAGCUUUUAAGUGACUUCUGCAAGUAAGACCAACUCCUAAAAAAAUAUGUUCUUUCCCAAAUCUUAACCAUACCUUUAUAUUUUUCCAUUUUCGGGGAUGUAUUUUUACUCUUUAGCGUGAUCUUGCCUUUAAAAUACCAGAAACAACAUUUGAGGUAUAGAUAAAUAAUUUAAAGAAAAGAAAAUGGAUGCUCUAUCAGAGUACCCAGCUGUUCAGCCAUCCAGUGAGGCAUGCUAGACUGGGAUAGUCAAGGGCUGCAUGUAAACCUGAUUGCCCAUUAAAGAGACACACAUUUCACAAUGAUGCAAUCAAGGCUCUCUGGAGAAUUAAGCAUUGUGCCCACGUGUAAUAUGUCAGUUAUUUGCCAGCAGGGGAAACAAUGCAAGAAGUGAAUGAGUUUUACUCUGUUCAGUGACAUUACUAAUGACUCAUGCAGGAUUAUGGGUAACAAACCUUUGAAAUGAGAGGUUGAGUUGUACACUACAUUAUACAUCUGAAUUUCAUGGUAUAUUAGUGACAGUGAUUGGUAAUACAAUAUGAUGGGAAAUUGCUAACAUCAGAGAGAAGUUAAUAUGAUGCGCUGCAAUUUCUCAAGGAGUUCCAUACUUUUUCUAGCACCACCCAUAAUCUGCUCAUUACUGCUUGGCAAAGAGCAAUCCCUCUCGUGGAGUGAGGGGCACCAGUGCUCUGACAGCUGGUCAUAAAUUUGAAUAGAAGAUAUGCAAUCUGAAACAUUCAUGUUUCCAUGGAUCGUUACCCAAUUGUAUCUCCUCUAAGAAGCAGGUGAUUUUUUAACAUCCUGUGAUGCUUUGUUUCUGCCGAUAUUUUCUCUCUCCAGAUGAAUCUGAUGCCAGCUCAUGUCUUAUAGCUUUUCUUACCAUUCUCAUUCUAUUAAAAUGGCUGAUACAGUCUAUACACACGUUAACUAAACACCAGUUAAUGGAGUGUAACUAAGAAGAAUGAAUAUAUUUACAAAAAGAGUAUUUCUAGGCCAUUAAAAUAAGUGUAAAACGUCUCAAAUAAUGCAUUAAAUUUACAAAUGUAACCACAAAUUUAUAUUUAUAGACUCUGGCAAACCCCACGACCACAUGUGCCCCCUCAGUUAUUCCUGUUUCAGUCUAAGAAAAUUUUUAAAUUCUUUACUUGAUAUAACCUGGAAUGUUUUGUGAGUGAUUUACAAGGCCAGUAAAUAUCCACCUGGCCUUCUCCAUUUCUAGAUUUAGUGUUUUCUGAGGGAAGAGCCCAUGAAUAGGGGAGUGCCCUAGAGUGAUCACCCUGAAGGCCAAACCCAACAUACCUGUAUAGAAGAUGCACCAAGAGCAUCACCCUCACAAAAGAUUCAUUGGGAAUGGUGAGUCAUUCCCAGGACAAAGUAGGAACAGCAGUCUCUGUGUCUUGUCCAUACUCACCCCAAACCCACUGUUGCUUACUUUCAUUUCUUCACUUGUGUCUACAUUGGUGGAGGUGACCAUUUGAAAUUUUUCUAGCUAUUUCAAGGUUAUCUCUGUGUCCAGCCAUGAGUGUAUGGAAACACUCCAGGUUUAACAGUGGGAACAGCUCGUUUUUAUGGGUCAUUCAUCACUGACACCUAGCACUGACCUGCUGACCUGUAGCAAAAAUAAUCUCUGCUGUUACGUUGCCCUGGGGAGCUGAAGGGAUCAACAAAGGGUCAUUAAUAAGCUUCAAUACCAUGAAGCGUCUCAGUGCUUGAAAGCAUCAGACCUGCCUAGGAGCACGGGGUUGAUCCAGUAAGAUCAUAAAAUCAUAGAACGGUUUGGGUUGGAAGGGACCUUAAAGAACAUCAAAUUCCAACUCCCCUG